CAUCACCAAGUGCUUCUCUCUUUCUGAGUUCCUAUUUCAUCUGUAUAAUGAAGGAGCUGGUCUGACUGAUGGAAAACCACAUUUUAUUUUUCUCUCACGCUUGCCAAGAAGAUGUGGCAUACUGUGAGGUCAUGAAGUGAAGGGUUUCAAGAAGGUGCUGAAGUCUGAGGCUGCAGCGGACCUUGCCAGCUGGAAGCAAGAUUGCGUCCCAAGAGACACCUACUUCCGGCAGUCCUCUCUGGGGACAUCAGGAACGAUGUGGUAAAUAAA